UACGUAGGUGGCGAGCGUUGUCCGGAAUUACUGGGUGUAAAGGGUGCGCAGGCGGGUUGCCAAGUUGGAUGUGAAAUCUCCCGGCUCAACUGGGAGGAUGCAUUCAAAACUGGCGAUCUUGAGUGAGGUAGAGGCUGGCGGAAUUCCCGGUGUAGCGGUGAAAUGCGUAGAGAUCGGGAGGAACACCAGUGGCGAAGGCGGCCAGCUGGGCCUUUACUGACGCUGAGGCACGAAAGCAUGGGUAG
rnacentral:rRNA from 1 species